CGCCAAGUUAGUAAGGGCGCACGGUGGAUGCCUUGGCACCAGGAGCCGAAGAAGGACGUAGGAGCCUGCGAUAAGCCCCGGGGAGUCGGCAACCAGACUUCGAUCCGGGGAUUUCCGAAUGGGGAAACCUGGCUGCGCGUAAUGGCCAGCCGCCCCUGCCUGAACACAUAGGGCAGGCGGAGGGAACGUGGGGAAGUGAAACAUCUCAGUACCCACAGGAAGAGAAAGCAAAAGCGAUUCCCUGAGUAGUGGUGAGCGAAAGGGGAACAGGCCAAACCGAUCACGUGUCAUAGCCGGCAGGCGUUGCGUGAUCGGGGUUGCGGGACCGCCCCGCCAGAGCUGCCGAGCUGGCAGGAAGUAAGAAAUCACUUGAGUAGCCGAAGACGUCUGGAAAGCGUCGGCAUAGCGGGUGACACCCCCGUAGGCGAAACUCAGGUGACUUCCGGGCGGUAUCCCAAGUAGCACGGGGCCCGAGAAAUCCCGUGUGAAUCCGGGAGGACCACCUCCUAAGCCUAAAUACUCCCUGGUGACCGAUAGCGAACCAGUACCGUGAGGGAAAGGUGAAAAGUGCCCCGGUGAGGGGUCGUGAAAUAGUACCUGAAACCGUGCGCCUACAAGCCGUGGGAGCGUUGACAGCCUUCGGGUUGUCGUGAAGUGACCACGUGCCUUUUGAAGAAUGAGCCUGCGAGUUAUGGUAUGUGGCAAGGUUAACCCGGGUGGGGGAGCCGUAGCGAAAGCGAGUCUGAAUAGGGCGCCCAAGUCGCAUGCUAUAGACCCGAAGCGGAGUGAUCUACCCAUGGGCAGGUUGAAGCGCGGGUAAGACCGCGUGGAGGACCGAACCCACCAGGGUUGAAAACCUGGGGGAUGACCUGUGGGUAGGGGUGAAAGGCCAAUCAAACUCCGUGAUAGCUGGUUCUCCCCGAAAUGCAUUUAGGUGCAGCGUUGCGUGUUUCUUGCCGGAGGUAGAGCUACUGGAUGGCCUAGGGGGCCUACAAGCUUACUG
rnacentral:rRNA from 1 species